rnacentral:tRNA from 1 species
GGGCGAUUGGCGCAGCGGGAGCGCAGGUGCCUUACAAGCACAAGGUCACAAGUUCAAAUCUUGUAUCGCCCACCA